GGACAAUGACCCAAAACACCCUUCCAGGCUGUGUAAGGUCUAUUUGACCAAGGAGAGUGAUGGAGUGCUGCAUCAGAUGAUCUGGCCUCCACAAUAGGUUAGGUCACAAAUAGAAAGAGGGAUCAGUCUACAUCUGAAGACGUUCAACGUGAGAGAGUGGUGGAACAGAGUCGUACAGAGGCCUGUCACACAGGGGGACAGGACCGCCCUUCAGAACAGGCCCUGGUGAAGUGUAUCACGCUGCGUUGUACGAAGAACAGUCGUGUGUGUGGGCGGCCUCUGGUCUCUGCCGGAGAGGAGCGUCAGUAUAUAAGAGGUGGAGCUGACAGAAAGGGAGAAAUAUGAGCUGGCACGCACAGAGGGACACACCACAAUCAGAAGGAUUCAUGUGCUGGCCCCUCACUUUUCCUCCUGCACGCACUCAGACAUGGUGUGGCAGAGGGUGUGCUAGAAGCUGCUGGAGAAUGUCCCUGGAGUUCUGGCUGGAGAGUGCUCACUGGGCUGCCAGUGAAGGCUGCCAACAU